UGUUAAUCGGUUAUCGAUUACAAGCUGAUACAUUUGCCCUUAACUAAUAGAAUUUGAGUAAUUUAAUAAUAUCAUAAAUACAGCAAAUUAGUUUCGUAUUUAACAAGUAUUCGUUAUGGAGAAUGAAUUUGAUUUUAGUGGCUGUGGUCCACUAAGUGCAGUGGUGCAAAGAGACUCCUUGAGUAGUACUGGCUCUUCGGUAUCUGCUAGUAGCACAUCCAAUUCUACAAAGACGGCACUGAACGAUUGCUCUGUAGCAUGGAUAAGUUACCUCAACUCGCUAAAUAACUUGUGUUGUGCUGGAAGUAAAUUGAGUAGUACACUGACGGUAAGGCAGUCCUAAUUGUAGUUUUGGCAAAACUUUCCAUUACUACCACGAUAUAUUUGAAUAUAAGGGGAGGGGGUGUGGCACCGCCCACUACGCCCAUUAGAAAGAGCAAGGUCACACCAUUAUAACUGUGAAAGCCCCAACUUCCUAGGGCCCCUAUAGAACCCCCAGGAGAAGUUAAAAAAUUUGGUUUUUUCGGCCGCAUUUGCAGUUUGUACUGAAAUACAGUUGCAGAGAAGUGUAUACAGCAGUCGUCAACCCAGCAAGCAUUUAACUUACAGUUAGUAACAUAAAUAAGUAUACAGGAGCCUGAUUUAUGGAAUUGUUUGACGCUAACGCUUUCCUUAAUAUGUAAUACAAAAAUUUUACACAUGGUACUGUUAUCCACGCUUUGCUUUGCCUUUGAUGUCAGGGAAAUUUAUGUCAAAAGUUAGUAUACAGCAAACGAUUGUUCAGUUGGCAUAACAUUUAUUUUUACGCAUUGAUUAAAAAAGUUAGAACUAUUAAAAGGAAAUAAUCAAAUAAUGGGACCAAGAGGAAAAGAGCUUUCUGAUGAUUUAAAAAAACUGAUUAUAAAAUAUCACAAGGAACAUAAAUCAUUGCGAGAAAUCGGUCGUUUGAUAAAUAGGAAUUUUGCUACAGUUCAAAAGAUUGUGAAUAAAUAUAAAAGUGCGGGAAACACCACUAAUAAAGAGCGUUGUGGGCGUCCGCCGCUCUUAAGCCCCAGAGAAAGCAAAAUCAGGACAAACCCCAAAAUGAGUGCCCCCAAAUUGAAAUCUCAAGUUGAAAAUGAGACUGGAAAACAAUUUAGCACCCAAACUAUUCGCCGGGUUUUGCAUAGUGCUGGUUAUCAUGGGCGCAGUGUUAGGAAAAAGUCCUUCGUGAGUAGUGUCAAUCGGAGUAAUCGGAUUUCAUUCGCAAAAUAUCAUGAAAAAUAUGACCAAACGUUUUGGAAAUAAGUCAUAUUUUCUGAUGAGUGUAAGUUCAGUAUCUGUGGAUCUGAUUGCCGUGAAAAAGUUUGGAGAAAAAUUAACGCGGAAUUGGAUCCAAACAAUAUGACCGGCACUGGGGUUGAAAACUUGGUCUUUAUCGAAAAUAUGGACCGAUAUGGUUACUUAAAUAUUUUGAAAAAUAUUUUAAAAGAAAGCGCUAUGAAAUUGGGCCUUGGAGCAACGUUUAUCUUCCAGCAGGAUAAUCACCCCAAGCACACAUCCAACAUUGUACGAGAGUGGCUGUUAUACAAUGUGCGAAAACAGCUGUAAACACCGCCACAGUCCCCGGAUACCAACCCAAUCGAACAUUUAUGGGAACAUUUAAAGCGGCAAAUACGUAAACACGACAGUCGGUUCUACGUUACCGAAACGACCCGGAUUUAUAUCCGGCCAAGGACUGUCACUCCAGCAGCAUUCACCGUAUGUAAGUAUGGGAAAUGUUUAUGCUGCUACUACAACAACAACAACAUAAACAUCCGAUUAGAAAUAUGUAAUAACUGAAAAACGUCUUUCAAGAGGAAUGGAAUAAAAUACUACCAGCUGUAACUGAAAACUUGGUGAAAUCAAUGCCAUCACGACUUAAAGCGAUUGUAAAGUCUAAUGGUUAUCCUACCAAAUACUAGGAUUAGAUUUUAAUUAUGUUUUUGAUUUCACAAAUUAAUAAUAUGAUGAACUGUAUACUUACU